rnacentral:rRNA from 1 species
UGGGGAAUAUUGCACAAUGGGCGAAAGCCUGAUGCAGCAACGCCGCGUGAGUGAUGAAGGCCUUCGGGUUGUAAAGCUCUGUCUUUUGGGACGAUAAUGACGGUACCAAAGGAGGAAGCCACGGCUAACUACGUGCCAGCAGCCGCGGUAAUACGUAGGUGGCAAGCGUUGUCCGGAUUUACUGGGCGUAAAGGAUGCGUAGGCGGAUUUUUAAGUGAGAUGUGAAAUACCCGGGCUUAACUUGGGUGCUGCAUUUCAAACUGGGAAUCUAGAGUGCGGGAGAGGAGAAUGGAAUUCCUAGUGUAGCGGUGAAAGUGCGUAGAGAUUAGGAAGAACACCAGUGGCGAAAGGCGAUUCUCUGGACCGUAACUGACGCUGAGGCAUGAAAGCGUGGGUAGCAAACAGGAUUAGAUACCCUGGUAGUCCACGCCGUAAACGAUGAGUACUAGGUGUAGGAGG